rnacentral:misc_RNA from 1 species
AACGCACGAGACCUGCGGACCUGCGGAAGGAUCAUUAUCAAUUUACAGCGGACUUCGGUCCUGUCUGCACCCUUGUCUUUUGCGUACUAUAUGUUUCCUCGGUGGGCUUGCCUGCCGAUAGGACACUUAUAAACUCUUUUGUAAUUGCAAUCAGCGUCAGAAAACUAUAAUAGUUACAACUUUCAGCAAUGGAUCUCU